AUCUUAAAAUGUAAUAAUAAUAAAAAAAAAUAGCAAGUGAAGUACCCCAGAUGAAGCCGUUAAUAUAUUUCAUAUGCAAGCUGUGAGAGACUAGCUUUAUAAUAACUGUGAUAUCCUCCCACCAAAUUUGUCUAUCGUCUGGGUCAUGGUAUAUUUGAUGGUUAAGGGGGGCCCUUUUAUAUGGGUGCCCCUCUCACAGAAUUAUGGGUCUUUUUAAGAAGGCUUAUCAAAUCUGUCCCUCAUAUGCCUUAAAGAUGCAACUCCCUGCUGGGAACCCAAGUCUUUUUCACCAGAAAAAUUAAAGUGGUCUGGGGUUAAAAAAGACUUCUGGGGACCAGAACAUAAAACAUACAGAUUAAUAGAAUUAUAAAAUGUAAGAUGUUUAAACAAGCUCUCUGUGAGGUAGUUGUAACCCCUUUUACCUAAAUGUCUUAUGAAAAUGGAUAGUAUAUCUAACUGUGGAAUGUUUUCCUCUUUCUAGUACUGUAAAGCUGAAGACAUGUAAAUCUGCUCAUGUAAAUCCUCCACUGCAUAGUCUUUUGUUUGGAGCAUUUAUGGGGCUUAUGGUAAAAACCGUGUGUACUUUUCAGUAACAACGACUGAGCUAGAGAAUUUCUACUUCGUGGGGCAUUUACUGCCUUGCUGUGGAAUAUUAACUGGAGCUACCCCUAUACUAAUGGGAAUAAUGUUUUCCAAAAAGUUCCAUGGUAAAAUAAAAAUGGUUUACAUAAAAUCUUGCUAUAUAAUAAGCAGAGAGCCUUUUUCUAGGACUAAUUGUAAGAAGCUGCUAAAUUCUAUAGUGCCAAAUAGCUCUCAUGAGCUGUUUGGUUUGUAAAUGACAUUUCCAAGGUAAACAAACAUCUUGUCUUAAAAGCUGCUGCUCUGGUUAAAAGAGGGUCAAGACAUUUUUUUUUAAGUUAUUUGGAAAAAGUAUGUUUUUGUAAGCAAAUUUACCUUUCUGAGUUCUCCAAAAUUCAGAUUGUGAUUUUAUAACAUUAUAAUUGUCUGCAUUAGUUUAAUGAUAAUUAAAAAAUAAUUGUUUUAAGGGAAAAGUGUGACACUUAAUACUAGAUUUCAGUCCUAACUUUUUAAGUGCAGAUUAAAUUAUUGUUCUUGGCUACAAUAAUCCUCUAGAAAGUACCAGAUUGUAAUUUUUCUUCAUAUUUUUAGUUGGUGCCCUAAUAGAAUAGGGCACCUUUCUAUUUCCUUUUUCUGUUCUAACAUACAAAUUAUUCUAUAAUUGUCAAACUAUAAAUGUUAUUUAUCUCUCCUUGUUUUACUUCCAAGGAAACCAAAAUCAUGGUAUUCUGAAGACCAGAGAUAUGAAUCUCCUUCAUUUGGCAUCCCACCGGCCCCGAUCUGUUUCACUGCUAAUGUUCUGCUGCCAAAACUAUACAAGCUGCCUCACCCCUAGGCCCAGGGACUAUCACAGAAGAGGGGUAAUUUAAUAAGACAUGUAAUUUUAAGGCUCAGAGACCACAUCAUUGAACAUCUAUGUGCGCAUCCUGGAGAAGUCCCACUUACUGAAAGCCAAUAAAACUUUUCUUUUGAGUGAUUUGCAGCUUUUAACAAACUGAACCUGCUUAUUUCUGUGAACCAACCAGUGAUCUCUUAUGGCUGUUCAAAAGUAACAAGAGAGAUAUCACCUUUUGUCAUAACUCAAGUCUUAUGAAUGGCCCUCACCAUAAUGAUGCUUUUUGACUGAGCUCUUCUCUAACCUGAAUGCAAGAGGUUAGGCAUGAAUAUCAUCCCCCCUGUUCAGCCUGAAGAAGUUACAGAAGAUGAAUCUUCCACUCUCUACAGCCCUUAGGAUUAAGGGUUCUCUUACUGAAUGUAUUCUUAAACUGAACACUUAUUAAUCUUCCAGAUAUCACCUUUUGUCAUAACUCAAGACUUAUGAAUGGCCCUCACCAUAAUGAUGCUUUUUGACUGAGCUCUUCUCUAACCUGAAUGCAAGAGGUUAGGCAUGAAUAUCAUCCCCCCUGUUCAGCCUGAAGAAGUUACAGAAGAUGAAUCUUCCUCUCUCUACAGCCCUUAGGAUUAAGGGUUCUCUUACUGAAUGUAUUCUUAAACUGAACACUUAUUAAUCUUCCAGAUAUCACCUUUUGUCAUAACUCAAGACUUAUGAAUGGCCCUCACCAUAAUGAUGCUUUUUGACUGAGCUCUUCUCUAACCUGAAUGCAAGAGGUUAGGCAUGAAUAUCAUCCCCCCUGUUCAGCCUGAAGAAGUUACAGAAGAUGAAUCUUCCUCUCUCUACAGCCCUUAGGAUUAAGGGUUCUCUUAUAAAAGGGAGGGGGUAAAUAUGUCAGAGGCAUUUGAACCAGAGAAACUCCAUCUUGAAUAGUCCCUGUGUAAAAUAAGACUGAGACCUACUGGGAUGCAUUCCCAGGAGGUUAGGCAUUCUAAUUCACAGGAUGAGAUAAGAAGUCUCCACAAGAUACAGAUUAUAAAGAUUUGGCUGAUAAAACUGUUUGUGAUAAAGAAGCUGGCCAAAACACACCAAAACCAAGAUGCCAACAAAAGUGUCCUCUGGUUGUCCUCACUGCUCAUUAUAUGCUAAUUAUAAUGCAUUAGCAUGUUAAAAGACACUCCCACCAGUGCAAUGACAAUGUACAAAUGCCUUGGCAACAUCAAGAAGUUACCCUAUAUGGUUUAAAAAUGGUAGGAACCCUCAGUUCUGGGAAUUGCCCACCCCUUUUCUGGAAAACUCAUGAAUAAUCCACCCCUUAUUUAGCAUAUAAUCAAGAAAUAACUGGAAGUAUCCUUAGUGAAGCAGGCCAAGCCACUACUCUUCCUAUGGAGUAGACAUUCUUUCAUUAGUUAACUUUAUUAAUAAACUUGCUUUCACUUUA
rnacentral:lncRNA from 1 species